rnacentral:rRNA from 1 species
CGGGGACCGGGGUGGGAGGUAAGUAGUCUGGAAGUAGCUCGAUGGAGGGGGAUAACUACUGGAAACGGUAGCUAAUACCGCAUAACGUCGCAAGACCAAAGAGGGGGACCUUCGGGCCUCUUGCCAUCGGAUGUGCCCAGAUGGGAUUAGCUAGUAGGUGGGGUAACGGCUCACCUAGGCGACGAUCCCUAGCUGGUCUGAGAGGAUGACCAGCCACACUGGAACUGAGACACGGUCCAG